rnacentral:rRNA from 1 species
UACGAAGGGGGCUAGCGUUGCUCGGAAUCACUGGGCGUAAAGCGCACGUAGGCGGCUUUUUAAGUCAGGGGUGAAAUCCUGGAGCUCAACUCCAGAACUGCCUUUGAUACUGAAAGUCUUGAGUAUGGGAGAGGUGAGUGGAACUGCGAGUGUAGAGGUGAAAUUCGUAGAUAUUCGCAAGAACACCAGUGGCGAAGGCGGCUCACUGGCCCGAUACUGACGCUGAGGCACGAAAGCGUGGGGAGCAAACAGG